rnacentral:lncRNA from 1 species
CAGCACUGAUUAUGGCUGAAUAAUUAUUAGAAGGCAGGCAUGGCAAAGAAGCAGUGGUAGAAAGUGAAGUGUCUUCAGUCAGAAAAUAAAGAAAUGAUCGAAGUAGGAGUAGAAUUAAGAAGUCCAGAAUCUUAGCAACAUAAAGUUGAAGCUGUUAUAUUUUUUUAUAGUAGACUUCGUAGCAGCUGCUAUGGGAAAUGCCUGCAAGGCCAAAGACACUGAGAAGCUUCUUGCAACUCAGACAGUCUUUUAUGCGGGGAUAA